rnacentral:rRNA from 1 species
AUGCGAAUUUUCAUGGCUGCUUCAUGCGGUGAUAUUCCCUUUGUGGAGGACGCGGCGACGGCGGAAGCAAGGGCCCUGAGAGAUGGGCUGCUGUUAGCAAAUGAUCUGGGCUGCAACAAACUAUACGUCGAAGCGGAUUGCAUGGAGGUGAUUGAGGUUAUGCAGAGCGGUGGGAACUCCCUCGGACCGGCGGCGGCCAUCUAUGAAGAGUGCACUUUCUUAGCUUGUAAUUUCAGUUUUAUAGUAUUUAAUCAUUGUCCUAGGGAAGCCAAUAUGGCAGCAGAUGUAUUGGCUAGGAACUCGGAGAUAUCUCGAACUAUUGUUUGGAAGACCGAGCCUCCAAGGAUGCACAUAUAUGUCAAGAACCCGAGCGGCAGGACGGUCUGCCUCAAGGUCCAUGCAUCAGACACCCUGUCUAGCGUCAAGACAAAGAUCCAGGAGCAAUACCACCUCGUCUUCGACGGGGCAAAGCUAGAGGACGACCGCACACUGGCCAACUACAACAUCGAGCAUGGAUCCACGCUCGACCUCCAAGAGAAGAUGCAGAUAUUCGUGACGGAGGUGUCAGCUGGCAGGACGAUGCCACUUGAGGUCGAAAGCCACGACACCAUCCACAAAGUCAAGGCCAAGAUCGAGUACAUGGAAGGCUUCCCCAAGGACCAGCAGUGCCUCAGCUUUGCCAACAAAUGGCUGGAGAAGGACUACCUCACCUUGUCUGACUACAACAUCUGGCAGGACUGCACCCUCCUCCUUGUCCUCCAGCCAUGUAGUCGGCCAGUAGGUGCGAGUAUGAUGUGCAUCUUUGUGAAGAAGCUAGAUGGGAAGACCCUCACCCUUGAUGGGGUGGCAAUCUCGGACACUGUCGCUAGUAUCAAGGUGAAGAUCUACGAGAAAGAUGGCACUCGCCCAAUACAGCAGCGCAUCAGCUAUGGUUGUAGGCCGCUGGAGGAUGGCGGCACCCUGGAGGAUUACAAUAUCCAGAAGGAUAGCAGGACAAUAUGCCUCAAGGUCCACGCAUCGGACACCUUGUAUAGCGUCAAGGCAAAGAUCCAAGAGCAGUACCGCCUCGUCUUCAACGGGGAGCAGCUACAGGACAACCUCACGCUGGCCGAUUAUGACAUCAAGCACGAGUCCAUGAUAGACCUCCAGGAGAAGAUGCAGAUCUUUGUGAGGGAGACACAAACGGGUAGGACCAUCCCUCUCGAGGUCGACAGCCUCGACACCGUAGGCACCGUCAAGACAAAGAUCCACUACAUGGAGGGCUUCCCCACAAACCUGCAGUGCCUCAUCUUCAAAGGCAAGCAGCUCGAGGACGACGAGCGCACGUUGGCCGAGCACAAUAUACACAAGGAUUCCACGAUCCUUCUCGUCCUCCACCCACGCCCCAGAGGUGGGAUGAUCAUCUUCGUGAAGAUGUUGAUAGGGAAGACCCUCACUUUCGAGGUUGAGAGCUCAGACACUGUCGAGAGUGUCAAGGUGAAGAUGUACCAGAAGGAAGGUAUUCCUCCGAUACAAACACGCCUCAUCUUCGCCGGCAAGGAGCUGGACGACAAGCGCACCCUGGCGGAGUACAAGAUUCAGAAGGAGGAUACCCUUCAUCAUCUGCUCUGCCUUUGUGCCGCCGCGCCGCCUGAGGAGAUGGCGGGGAGCUCGCCGUUCUUCGCCGCCUUCACCGGGAGCGUUGCUGAUGGACACGUCGCGCGCCGGGGGCUCGGAACCCCUCUGAAUGCUAGGCUUAGUAUGACACCUUGAAUGUACGUCUUGGUCAAGAGCCCGGCCGGCAGGACGACCCGCCUGAGGGUCCACCCAUCAGAUACCGUGCAUGCUGUCAAGGCAAAGAUCCAGGAACAGGUCACCCUCGUCUUCAAUGGGGUGCAGCUAGAUGACAACCUUACACUGGCCGAUUACAACAUUCAGCAUGAAUCCACCCUUGACCAUCAGGAGAAAAUGAAGAUCUUCGUGACCGAGACGGUGGCGGUCAGGACCAUCACUAUCGAGGUCAACAGGCUAGACACUGUCAAUGACUUAAGAGCCAAGAUCCAGGAGCUUGAGGGCUUCCCGAAGGCUCAGCAGUGCCUUGUCUUUGCCAACAAGCGGCUGGACGAUGGGAACCGCACCAUGGCUGACCACAACAUUGGCAAUGAGUCCACCCUUCUCCUCGUCCUCCUCCCGUGUAUUUCGAGAGGAGACAUGAUGCAGAUCUUUGUGAAGACUCUACAAGGAAAGAGCAUCAGCCUCAAGGUUGGGAGCUUGGAUACAGUCGACAGUGUCAAGGUGAAGAUCUACGAGAUGAAGCACGCCCCAUACCCGAAACUGCAGCGCUUCGUGUAUGCUCACAGGUAG